GGUCGCAUAGCUCAGUGGAUAGAGCAUCAACCUCCUAAGUUGAGGGUCGUAGGUUCAACUCCUACUGCGAUCGCCA
rnacentral:tRNA from 1 species